rnacentral:lncRNA from 1 species
AACCAGCUGCAGAACUUCUUGCAUCCUCCUUUAUAGAAAGUCCACCAGCCUUUGCAUGGUCACUAGAACAAGACUGACUAUUGUUGUGGGACUGACUCGAACUGCUGCUUUUCUCAUCCUUUGCUGUUGUUUGAGGAUCAGAGGUGCCAACAACAGCAGCAUUUCGUGCUUGCACAUCUUUUAAAUUUGCAAUGGCAGAAGCAGGUGAUAUUGCGGCCUUCAUAGAUCCCAGUGAUGCAGAAGUAGACUUGGUAGCACUCUCUCCUUGAGCAAGCUUAACAGAACCAGUUUUAGAGGCAGAAACCUGUGUGACUGAAUUCUUCAUGGCAACCUCAGAUGAUCCAGAAUGCUUGUUUCCACUGUGAGAAACCUCCGAAACUCGAGACCUUGCAGGCCAGGGAACAGCUUGGUUUGAGCCACACUUGGCAUCCAUCUCAGCCUCAACUCUUUUUUUCCAUGUAUCAACUAAACUCCUUGCUUUCUUCUGUAUAUCUAUGUUCUUAUGAGUGCGCAAAUGAUUCACAGACUUGCCAAUGUUACACAUCUGUAGAGCUGUGAGAUUUACAGGUAACUUAUCAAGUGCUCGGAGUAAGGUUAAUAGAAAAUCAUCAACUGAUCUAUCAUCCUUGGAGCCACUACCAUCACCAAUCUUCCCUUUGUGGACUUCCUGGAGCCAUUCAUCAAAAACACGCAACCCUCUGAGCUGAACAAAAUGACUAAGACAGUCAAACUUGUCUGUAGCUGAUAUUACACUAGCAAGCAUUGACCGGCUCACCAAGUCUAUUUUCUUUUCAUUUCUCUCAGGCACCAUGAGAUGAAUCAAUUUCUCAACUCCUUCAUAAUCUUCUAGGCCCCCCUUUUCAGCGAUCUUUGCAAUCUCAAUUUUUAAAUUAAUUUCUCGUCUACCAUGACCAGAAUCCCCAUCAUCUAUUUUACUAGUGCAUUCCCGCUUGACAGGCUCGGAACCUUGAUCACCACGCUCCCUUUUCUUUCCCUUACCCUGAGAAGGAAAUGAAGCACUGUUUUGUACACUCUCUAAACUAGGUUUUAACUGUGAUGUAGAUGUUGGACCAUUCACUGGCUUUGGAGAACAUCCAUCUGGCUGGACUGUAGCUUGCAUUUCUAAAUGUGUCUUAUAUAAUAGAUUAUCUACUUCCUCUUGAUGUUCCUGUAAAAGUCAGCAAUAUCAAUUGUGAAAGUUCAAAUUUGGAAUAGAUUAUACACCUUAAAGAGAAUCUAGAACUCACAUUAAUGUAAUCUCGAUCAGUUAGCCACCAUAAACACUUGUUUGUAAUGUCAUAAACUCGCCGGCAAACAAGUGAGCAAAUCCCAGAUGGAAGUUCAACGUCUUUAGGAAGAAAUGCAACUUUACACGGAUGGAGUAAUGAUGCAGCAGGAAUCUCAUCCUUAUGAAAGGAAUAAAAGAUUUCGUUUGGCGCAGCUUCCAGCAGGAUGCCUUCGCCAAGCUUUACUUCAGCGGGUCGAUAAAGCCAAUUCACGCCCAACUUUAACUUAUUUUCUUUGCUUGCAGUCAGGCAACGAAUUAUUCCAAUGAAAGGUGGAGAAUCUAGAGCUGGUUUGAAGAGAGCACAGUCACCAAUUCUGAUAUUGCGUCCAUCCUAUAAGGGGGAAACCAGGCAUGCAAACUUCACCAGUGAGAAUAUAUAUAUAUAAACAAUUUGGUUAAAAGAAAUAAAAAGGGAGAAGAAGAGGAAGAAGAAGAAGCUUGAUCAACACCUCAAACUUGCAUUAAUCAGUUACUUCUAAAAACUAUCAACUUAGCUACAUAGACUGAGCAACCUAACAGCAGUACAAAUGGCAAUUCGAUACAGACAAAACCAACACAAAUCAACAACCUCAUCCAGCAACUAGUAAUUGCUUAAACAAUUAGAUAUGAUGAUGAUUCCAAGAAUCCAUCUUUAUUAGAUAAGAACAUCGUCUAAAUGCGUAAUUGCAGAAAAAAGAUGCAUAUAACGGCAAUUCAAGCCUAAUUCGUAAAUCAACUAUAAUUCUAUAUGAGCAAAUUCCACAAGACUUCACCACUAGCAAGAACAAGGUUCAUAUGCAUUCAAAACCUGCUAUACUAAUAUCAGGGAAACCAUUAUACAUCUAGACUGAACAAAAACUUAACAAUUCGCAUACUGAUAAUAGGUUGUUUAUAUCACGCACUCCUCUUUAAAGCCUUGGAUAUGUCUUAGGUACUGCUUCAACAGACAUCAUUAUCAUAUAAAUAUGACUCCGUUGAAGAUGUCCAAUACAUUUCUCUGGACUAAUUUUUGACAUAUUUUAUCAGAGAAAACAUCCAGCAUAACAAAAAUCAUGUUCCUUCUCACUCAUAUACAACUAUGUCAAAACCCGAUUCCAAAUGGGAAGACCAAUACACUUGCGUUAUCUAGGACAACUAUCUUUUUACACAUAAUAGAACAGGAUGCAUUACAGAAACUCGCAAGACUUGCCAUAUACAGAAAGACCAGAAGCAAAUAUUGCAUUUACCACAUCCCAGGUCAACUAUUGGAGCAAUAACUCCCCAAAAAAUGUAUCCUUAUUUUUCAAGCUCUUCCAAAAUUGGAAUAAUUUUCCAAUACAAUUAUAAAUCAUAAUGCUGGUGAUUACUCCUUAAUCAUCAUUCCUACCUAAAGUUAGCAAAUUCCUAAUAUUCAGGUUCAUUAGCAAAUUCCUAAUAUUCAGGUUCAUUUACAUCAAUCUGUCUAAAAUCCAAAUAUUUCUAUUGUGUCCAAAACACUUUCUACCUGGAACUUAAAUUAGCUUGGACGAAGAAAACCCACCCCAUGGCAGGCUGAAUGAUUAUAGCUACAUGUCCACAAUUAAAAGUUUCAGAUAAGUUAGUAGGAUAUUUCAGCUGUAGAAUAGCUUCUAGAGGAGAAAAUGAAAAAGAAGUUAUUGUUAUUUUAGGACACUAACCCAUCUGAAGAGAGACACCCUUCCCUAUCUUACCCAACUUAUUAUGUGGUACAAUCGUUCUUCACAGCUGCAACACUAUAUGAUCCGCAAAACCAAGCCUAACAAAAAUGUCUUGCACAUAUACCUCAGUAAAACAGUCAACCCAAAACAUAAAAACUUAAAUGCCUUCAUAUGAGUCGGUUAAAAUUUCGAAAAAUGUCCAAAACAAUUCAGACAACUGACUAGAUUUUACUCCAAACGAGCUCAACAAAUCAUCCACAAAGUUUAAACCAAGCCAACAAAAUUGACGAAAUUUGCGACUAUUUCAACACUUCCCCUCAUCAAUCAAGACACCAUCUCAAAAUUCUCAAGCAAAAUCGAACCUCUUCAUUUACCAAAAUCGAUAUGAUAAAGCACCUCUCACCAAAUCACCUGAUAAAACAAACCAACAAGCGAACAAAAAGGAAAACCUAGAAAAUAAAAAAAAAUCCAAUCAAAUCAAAUUAAUUGAAAUUGAUUUAGAAAGUUAUACCUUUGAAAAUGAAUUAACGGUAGAGGAAGAAGAAAAAGAGAGCGAAGCAACACCAUCACCACUCAGAACCUCCGUUGCACGUGUAGGGACUGUCCACAUCAGCCGUGCCUUUUUCCUCUCCUCAUCUCCUCCCCGCCCAUGCAUAGCCUUGCAUUUUUCCCUUCGAGUACCAUCAAUCCGCCCUCCUAAUGGCUAUCUUUCUUUUUCCCCUCUUGAAUUCCAGCUCCCCUUAUUUCACCAACUCAAGCCCUAGAUCACCAACCCCUACCUCUGUCAGAAAUCUUCCCUUAACCAAACCCUAAUUUCCCCAAUCACAAAUCCAAAAACCUAAAUCCCUUCGACCGUGAUUCUUCCGUUACCCAAUCUAAUUCAACCUUCUGCGUUCGAUUUCUUAAGCCGCCUUUCGAUCUACAUAAGAAAAUAAAAAAGAGAAGUUAAAAUUUAAAAGGAAGCAAAAACUUGCUCUAUUUCUAGAGAGAGAGACAUAGAGAGGGACGGCAAAAGAAAAGGUGCACUUCGAUACAUGGUAGGGCAGAGCGGGCAAUGGGUUUGGGCAGAUCGGAUAGUUCGGGCGAGUUUUUAGCAAUAGCAAGAUAAAGUCACGGAUAAGCAAUGAUUUAAAAAUCGGUUCAUUAGUUAAGUCGUUUAUACUUGGUUCGGUUCAUUUCUAUUUAUUUUAUAAAUUAUUAGGAAGCCCAGUUCAAACACUUUUAAGCUCGUAUUAAAAUUCUGGAAGCCCAAACAUUACCCCUUUAUGCCUUUACUAAGAAUUUUGAAUACCUUUUUCACAUAAAUUAACAUACAAACUUCUUUUUUACUUCGGGGUUUUUUUCUUCCUACGUUACGCUCAAAACUUAUUACAUUUUCUCAGUUUCUUAUCUAAAUUUUAUUUUGACAAAAAAUUCAUUUAAAUCUUAUUUGAAAAUUUCUUUUAUAAUUUUUUGUUCUUUUCGAUUUUAUAAUUUUUUCAUAACAAUCUUGGAGUACAGCAUAAUCUCACCUUAAUGGAAUCCAAGUUUAAGGACUAAAUUGAAAAAAAUUGUCAAAUUCUAAGACUAACGUAGAAAGAAAAGUGCAAUGACCAAGUAGGGAAAAGUUGCAAGUUUAGAGACUAAAUGUUGUUUUAUCUUUAUCUUAUUUAUAUUGGAGCAAACUACAUUUGUAGUCACCCAACUGUUAGUAAGUUUUUCUUUUUUGGUCACUCAAUUGUGAAAAGUUAUAAAAUGAUCAUCCAAUUAUUUGAUUUUUUUUCUUUUUUGGUCAAUGACCUUCAAUUGCUUAUGAAUAGAUGAUGUGGUAUAUUUUAAAAUUGGCAUAAUAACAAUUUUAACCCUAAAUACUUAUACAUUGUGUCAAUUUAGUCUUGAUUACAAAAAUUUUAACUCACAACGUUUACACAUUGUGUAAUCCAGUCUGUUUUUAAAAAUUGAUUUUUUUGUGACCCUUUCACUUAAAAAACUAAAAAUAUCUAUUAACUAUAUUUGAUAAAAAUAUAUAUACCAAAAAUAAAAACACCCGAAAAUCAAAUAUAAUAAUUUUCAUAUUUUCUCAUUCUUUUAAAAUUAAUCAUUAAUGUCAUAAAUAAAAGUAAAAAUGUAAAAAAAAGACCAAAUUAUACAAUGUGUAAAUGUUGAGGGUUAAUUUUUUUUAAUCAUACUAAACGACACAAUGUAUAAGUGUUGAGAGUUAAAUUUGUUAUUAUGCCAAAUUUAAAAGUUGCCAAGUUAUAUUUCCAUUAGUAAUUUAAUGACUGGUGUUCAAAAAAGAAAAUUUUGAAUAGUUGGGUGACUGAAAAUAUCAGAGCUAUGGUUUAGCUGGUUCUUGGACUGAACGUAGCAUAUGUGAAGUCUAGAAAUACAUGCCAUUAUAUAACCUGUGAUGGUGUAAUAUCUCCCGACUUUGAUGAGAAUUGUUUCACAAAUAGACAAAAAUGCUUUCCAACUGAGCUAAUUCCGAUAAUUCUGAAAGUGAUGUUCAAGUAUCCGAGUAAAAUGUUACUUACAAUGAAAUAGACUUCGAAAAGGUACAGAUAAAUGUUUUAUAGUAUAUGAGAAUGAUAAAUGUUAUGUUAUAUGAGUAUAUACAUGAAAGUUGAUUUGUGAGACUUUACAAUCUCCACCCCCUUAUUAGUACAAUUAUAUGUAAUGAAAUUCAUAAGAUUUAUAUUGAUUUAGUUCAAAAAUGUGGAACUGAAGAAUUCAGUGGCUGAAUGAUAAAUAAAGUAGUUAAAACUGAGAAUGGGUUAGUAAUUAAACAUGAGUUCUGAAGAGACAUAUCAGAUUUUUUUUUGAAAAACUAUUUGAGAUACGCAGUGCCACUGUUAAAUAAAGAAGUUAUUUAUAGGUAAUCGACUUAUUCAGAUAUGGUAUCUAUAGAAUGAGUUAACUAAAAAUUUCUUCCAAAUAAGCUUCGUGAGUGAACUGGAUGAUGUGAAAUUAUUGAUAUGUCACUGGAUUAGUGAUGAAAUUGCAAAAAUAUUUGAAUACAACUAUUAUAAUCGGGUAUCUUACAGCAAUUUCUUCUAGGUAUUUUAUGUGAGUAUUUUAUAUGUAUUGUUAUUCUCAAAGGUGUAUAUAUAUAACUGUUUAUGUUCAGAUGCUAUAAUCAUUAUAUGGAAAGGUUGUUUAAACAUGGUAAUAGACAAAAAUUAUUGUAAGUCUGGUUAAUUCAUGAACGGUAUUGCUAUAUCUUUCUCGGGUUUUUCUGAUUCAGAAUGUUUGAUAGAAAAUUUCAUGAUGAAAUUCAUAUGAUACUAUUUUCUACUUCUGUUGGUUGAAGUUCUGAAUAGCAAAUGUGCAAGUUACACUGUUUUUAUUAUGACUGUUUAUAGUGUGAAUGUGCAAUAUUACUCUUUUGGACUUUCUUUGAGAUGUCAUCAAUCUUUUUAUUAUUCAAUAUGGAUUAUCUUCUCGGAAAUUCAAUAUAAUUUCACAACUUGAAUUUCAUUAUCUCGGUUUUCUUGUCAUUAUUAUGGGUUGUUUGUAAGGAAUAUUCAUUGAUCGAAGGUAAUUACAUGUUUUACUACUAUAAAUCCUAAUUUGAUCAUGGAAGUCAAGUGAUAUGGAUUUCAAAUUAAAAAAAUUUUAUUAUGACAUGUCUAUUAUAGAAAGAUGUGAGAUUGGAAUGGAUCGAUAAAUGGUAGCAAAGUUUCGAUCAGUUGCAAGCUCUGUUGACCGAAGUAUCAGUUCUGGUUCAGCCUAAAUCAGGUAAGGAAUUUAUUAUUACAGUGAUACAUCCUUGAAUGGAUUAGAUUGUAUUUUGAUGAAGGAAGGCAAAGUAAUGGCCUAUAGACAGACAAAAUUUCAGGAAAAGAAUUAUCUGAUAUAUGAUCUUGAGUUGGCAAUUAUUGUGUUGGCAUUGAGAAUUUGACAACAUUAUCUUUGUGGUGAAAAAUACGAUAUAUGUACUGAUCAUAAAACUUUAAAGUAUCUGAUGGUGUAGAAAGAUCUGAAUCUGAUACAGCGCAGAUGGCUUGAACUAUUGAAAGACUCUGACUUGAUAAUUGAGUAAUAUUCUGGAAAAUAUAUAUAGUUGUUGAUAUUCUGAAAAGAAAAUCUUUGUUUGUUUUAUAAGCAAUAAAUAUCUGAUUGCUGUUAUCUGAUGAAAGAUUAAUUUUGGUUGAGGAAAGCUAAAUCGAUGUUUCUACAACAGAUUAGUGAAGCUUAGAAAGGUGAUAAAGAGUUAUAAGUUAAAUGGGUACAAAGUAAAACAACUUUUAUUUAGAAUUUCAAACUGAAUUUGAUAAUUGGUAGUUAUUCAAAGGAAGAAUAUGUGUACUAAAGAAUUUAGAGCUUGUAACAGAAAAUUUUAUAUGAAUGCUCACAGUGGUACUAUAUUUGUUUAUUCGAUGAAUGAUAAAAUGCAUAAUAAUUUAAAACAGAUAUAAUGGUAGUCCAGAAUGAAAUGUGGUAUUUCUAAAAUUGUAUCUAAAUGCUUUAUAUGUCAGUAAACUAAAGCUAAGCAUCAGAUAUUGCUACCUUCGGGACUGUUAUAGCCAGUGAAUAUACUGAAAUAGAAAUGUGAUAAAGUUAUUAUGAAUUCUAUAUCGGGAUUAUCCCUGUCUAUGAAAAGAAAGAUACUAUUUGAGUAAUUGUUGACCAUUUGACGAAUACUGUAUAGAUUAUCCUGAUAUGAAUGGGUUUCUUACUUAAUAGAUUAUUUGAAUUAUUUGUUCCUGAGAUUGUCAGAUUUCAUGAUAUGCUAGUUUCCAUUAUUUUUUACUGAAAUCUAAGAUUCUCAUUCUGAUUCUGGAACAAAUUUCAAGAAACUUUGGGUAUGUGGUUAUAUUUUAGUACUGUAUGUCAUUUUCUGAUGAAUGGUUAAUUUGAAUUUGUAAUUUGAAUUCUUGAAGAUAUGUUCCGGUACUAUAUUCUAAAAAUUUGAAGGCAAUUGGAAAAUAAAUGAUUGCUGUGGGUUGAAUUUGCGUACGAUACUAAUUUUUAGUCAAGUAUUAAAAUGGUACCGUAUGAGACUCUGUAUGACCAUGAAUGCAAAACUCUAUAGUAUUGGAUUGAGAUUAGUAAAAAAAAAAAGUGAAAGGGAUCUGAGAUAGUUUUAAGAAAAUUUCUGAUAGUCAAAGGUCUUGUGCGGAUCUUAGAUAAAAAGAAAUGGAGAUCUGAGAUAGUGACAAAAUAUUCUUGAAAAUUUUGUCAUGGAAGAAGUUCUCCAAUUUUAGCUGUAAAGGUGAAUUAAGUCCGCAGUUUAACAGGUCAUAUUAGAUUAUUGAAAAGAAUUGGAAUUGUUGCAUAUCAAUUGGUAUUGUUGUUAGAGCUUGAUAGAAGUUAUAAAUGUUAUUUAUGUGUAUAUGUUUCGACGGUAUCGAUCAGAUCUGUCACAUGUUAUUUCUCUGAUAGUAUUAGAAUUCAGCUUGACAUGACUUUCAGUGAGCGAUUGGUUGAAAUUUUGGCAUGUAAGGUGGAGGAAAAUUAUGAGAAAUAUAAUAUCUAAACUUCUUUACUGGUGAGAUUUUCGAGGACGAAAAUUCUUAAGGGGGAGAAUUGUAAUAGCCUGAAUUUCAGUGAUGUUGAAAACUAUGGUUCGAGGCCACUAAAUUCGGCAAAUGAGCUUGUAAAUUUUAUUAUUUAAUAUUUAUGUGUUAAAUGUGGUUUUUAAAAGAUAUUUAAAUUAGUAAAUGUGUGUUUGUAAAAAUUUAUUAGGUCAAUUAAUUGAGAAAAAGAGAUAUCGAGACCUCGGUGUUAUAAACUGGCCAUAAAUAUUUUUAAAAAUAUUUAUGGAGUGUCAAUAUGGUAGUAUUAAAGUUUCGUCAGAAAAUUUUAACGUUUCGGUAGUCAAUUGAUUAAAAAGGACUAAAUUGAAAAGGUGCAAAACUUACUAAAGUGAUUAAAUUGCCUAAUAGUAAAUAAAAGAGGACUAGAAGAGAAAAUAGACCAUCCUAAAUGGCUAAGGCGGCAUAACGCGAAAAAAAUCAAAAAUAUUCAUGUGAUUAGGGAUAAAAUUGGAAUUAAAAUAAAGUUUAUAUGGUCAAAUGUUAUUUUAAUUGUUUCUAGACAUUUUCUUGCUGGUCUUUCAUAUUUUAGCUUCAAGUAAGUUCAAUUAUUGCUUUUUCUUUGAAAGUUUUAUGUUUUUGGACUUUUACAAUUAGGUCCAACUUGUUAUUUCAUUAGUUUUGUAUUUUGUUGGAAGUUUUGGAAGAUACCAUUGAUAAGUUCAUAUGAUUUUAGUUAUUUGAUGAUGAAAUUGAGAUGAAAUUGAGAUGUUAAUGGAUAGGGGUGUGCAAAAUUCGGGUAAAACCGAAAAACUCGGUUAACUAACCGAAUUCGGUUAAUCGGUCGGUUAACCGAAUUAAUUCAGUUGGGGGUCGAUUAAAUAUUUUUUGAGUUUUCAGUUAACGAUUAAUUAGGUUCGAAACCGGUCGGUUAACCAAAAAAAAUUCAGUUAACCGAAGAAAAUUAACAAAAAAUUUAUAAUAUAUAAAUAGCACACUAUUCAUUCAAACCCAAUCCAACAUAAACCCAAAUACCAAAUCUAAUAUAUAUUAACUUAAGUACCCAACCCAACCCAAUUACCCAACCCAAUCAUAAAAAUUACUAAUAAUUUAAUAAAUAAAAAUAAAAAUCUAAAACUAAAACUAAAAAUAAAAAUAAAAAUUAAAAUUAAAAACAUAUAAUUUUAUACAAAUAAUUCGGUUAAUUUGGUUAAUUCAGUUAAUUUGGGUAAUUCAGGUAAUUCGGUUAAUUCAAUUAAUUCGGUUAAUUUUAUACUUAUUUUAACCAAAAAUUAAAAAAACAUAUAAUUUUCGGUUAAUUCAGUUAACCGACCGAAUUAACCGAAAAAUUUUCGAUUCGAUUAAUUUUUUUGAAAAAAUUUCGGUUCGGUUAACGCUUAAAAUUUUUGAAAGGUCUGUUAAUUCGGUUAAUUUUAUUUCAAGUCGGUUAACCGAUUGAACACCCCUAUUAAUGGAUAUGUAAAGGUACUUUAUUAAAGAAUUUUGAGUGAAAUCAUGAUUUAGGGAUAAAAUUGUAACGUUGUUGAAUUUGAAGAAAAUUCUGAAAUUUCAUGGAAUUCAAGGGCUUCUAUUGUUAUAUAUGAAAAUAUUUAGGCUUGGAACAAGGAAUAAAUUGCAUGAAUUUUAUGUUCCGAGCCUAGGAACAAAAUUGUCAUUUAUUAAAAGUUUAGGGGCAAAAUGAUAAUUUUGCCUAAAAUGUAAAUUGGAUUAAAUUGAGUAUGAAUUUCAUUAAAUUGAUGUUAAAUUUACUCAUAGAGAUUUGGGUAGUCCGAAUAUGGAGUUAGAGCGAGGAAAUGAGAAAAUGUCGAAUAAAUAUAUUUUAUGUACACGAACAACUAUCGAGGUAAGUUCGUGUAACUUAACUAUAUAUGUUAAUAUGCUUAAAUUGAAUUGUAUGAAUGUGAUGGUAUAUAUAUGUGUGUGAUGAUAUAUAAAUCAUAUAUAUAUUUUAUGAAAUUAAGGAUGUUCAAUAAAGCCCAAUAAAUGAUAAUAUCCCAUAAAUGGUAAGUCCCGGUUGAAUAAUGAUUAUUGAAGGAUAGUGGUGAUUUCCCUAUAUGAAAUGAGAUCCUACAUGUGUAGCAAAAAGGAUUUAGCUCGGAUGAGUAAUCCAUUGAUCUCAUUAUGGAAAAGAUUUAGCUUGGACGGGUAAUCCGAAAUGGGUCUCUCGAGCAUUUGUUUCAAUUAGGAUUUAGCCUGGACUGGUAAUCCUAAUUGACUAGAUUUAGCCUGGACUGGUAAUCCUAAUUGACUAGAUUUAGCCUGGACUGGUAAUCUGACAAAGCCCUUAGAGUAUAUGCAUUAUAGACAGAAUUUAGCCUGGACUGGUAAUUAUGCUGUAUAAUAUGUGGCUCGAGAGUGUACCUAAAAGGUACUACUGGAUAUGAAUUGACGGAUUAUGAUUUGUACACUAUGAGUGUACUACAUGAGAAUCCAUCGAUCAUUUAAAUAAAUUCAACAGGCAAAGUUCUAAUAUGAGCAAAUAUGAAAUUGAGAUAAAUGGUUAUAGAUUGAGACAUGAUAUGUGGAAAUAUGAAAAUAUGUUACAUGAAAUGAAAUAUAGAAGUGUGAGAUGUUUAUAUAUGAACAUGGAAUUGUUUGAUGAAUACAUUCAUCUAUGAGAAUAGAUUAGUACGCCUUUAGUGUACUACCCGAGUGAUUAUCAAUAGAGCAAUUGAUUAUUGAAUAAAGUCUUGACAUGAAAUAUAUCAGAACUCGAUAAGAAUUAAUAUAAAAUAUAUCUAAAAUACAUGGAAAUAAUUUGUAUAUAUGUUAUGAAAAUACAUGUUGUGGAAAAACAUGUGUGUAUGAGAAUACAAAUAUUGAUGAAUUCAUAUAUGUGUUUCUUGAAGUUUAUAUGAAAUAUGUGACUAACAAGGGUGAUGAGAAUGUGUGAUAGGGCUUGUGAGAUUAAAUGGUUUGAUUAUGCCCCUUUAUAUUUAUUUUGAUGAUGAAUGGAUGGUAAGUUUAUUACUAAGUUAUAUGGACUUACUAAGCAUUAUAUGCUUACUCCGUUUUAUUUUUCCUUGUCUUAUAGUAAAUCGGAAUGCUCGCUGGAUUGGAAGCUUGGCGAAGAUCAUUCACACUAUCCAAUAGUUCAUUCAGUGUAUAAGGUAAAACAAUUAUGGUUAUAAUGGCAUGUAUCGGCUAAUUCGACUAAAUCUUGUCUUGUAAAUUGUGGUUUGAAACCUAGCUAUUGGAAUGGCUAGUGAUGAUUGGUUUGGUAUAUUUAUGAAAUUAUGAUAUGGUGAUUAUGUACGUGUUACCAUAGUCUUACUUUGAAAAUUUACCAAAAAUUGUGAAAAUCGAAUUAGAGGUUGAAUAAAAUAUGAAAUUAAAUUUUAUUGAGUCUAAUUUUUCAAAGAAGAUACGAUGUAAGCAAUAGAGUUAUAAAUUAUGAGAUAUAAUAAAUUUUAUGAGAUAAGGUUAGAAUGAUUUCGGGUUCCCUUAUUCUGACUUUGAAAAAUCAUCAAAAAUUGUAAAAAAGUAAUUAGGGGUUCAAAUUUAUAUGCUUAAAUUUUUAAUGAGUCUAUUUUAAAUAGAAGCAAACAGAAGCAUCGUCCAAACCCCGUAUUAAGAGAUAAUUAGUUUUUUGUAAAGAAAGGUCGAAGCUGUCAAACAACAAAAUAGGGGUAAAUUUGAAGAUUUUACUGUACUUAUUGGCUAAACCAUAAAUUUUAAAAAUUUUAUGGUAGAAGAUAUUUGAGUCUAGUUUCGAAAAAAUCAAGCAGAUCUUAAUUUAGAAUUCUGUAGCUCACGAUAUAAAUAAUUUAGUAACUAUGACUCAAGUGAAGAGUUUUGCUAUGAACAAUAAUUUACUCGAAUUAUCUGAAAAUGUUCUGUAAUUACCGGUAAUGCUCCGUAACCCUAUUCUUACGACGGAUACAGAUUGGAGUGUUACAGAAAAAGAAAAAGGUUGAAUAAUUGGGUGACCAUUUGUAACAUUUCAUAGUUGGGUGUCCAAAAAAUAAACUAAUAGUUGGGUGACUACCAAUGUUGUUUACCCUUUAUAUUUCAAACUUUUUACUUUCUCAAAGACUAAAGUAUUGUUUAAUAAACUGAAAAACUAAAUGUUGAAUUUUCAUUAUUAAAUUUUAUAGGUACUAUAUUUUUUGGUACCAAGAAAAUUUUUAGUGAGACACAUUGUAGGCCAUAAUUUAUUUCCUUCAAGCUAUAAUGGCAACUCCAUAUAGGAUCUGAUUGGAACGGAUAAUUCUUGUAAUUUUAUUUUGUGAGCCCUAAGUGUGUUUUGUGUUGUCAUAUCCUCUUUGCUUUUUUAGAAAAGCUUGUUUUCUUUGACAAUUCAAAAUGUUAGCUUUCUGAAUGAACUAAUGGGAUUUGCUUUCAUUCCUUUAAAAAUAACAUCGUUUAUCCAGAUAUUCGGUAAGAUACAUAUCAUCAUAAACUUGAUACCCUCAAAUAUUAGAUUGCCCUAAUAAUCAUAUUAAGAAUUUGCGUCGAUGCCUUUCUUUCUAAUAAUUAUAUUCAAAAUGAAACUUCUGAUAGUUGAAAGAUUUAGUUCCAUUGAUUUAAUUCCUAAGCACAAUUCCAACCAGAUUACCCUAGAAAAAUAACAAAACAAAAGAUGCUCAUACAAUUCAUCUCGUUGUCUACAUAAUUUGCACAUUAUGUCCUAUCUAUUGAUUAUGUUUUCUAAAUCCUCCUUGUAAGGUAGUGCUUCCACACAAAUUUUUCAUAAAAAAGGCAUGGUUUUAUAAGGAUUUUUCAACUUCCUAGUGAUUUCUAAUUUAUUGUUGUCCAUUCUUAUAAUGUGUUAUGUCUUCCUCUUGUCAUUUCAUUGUGACUAGACAUUUUGUAACAUCCCGAUUUUGGGCUUAGUCGGAACAGUGGUUUCGGGACCACAAAUUCGAUGAGGAAAAUUUUAUUUUUAUUAUAUUUUUAUGGUCUACGAUUUCACGGAAUGAUUUCGUGAAAAUUUCGCUUGAAGACGUUUGGGCACUCAAUUUAGUAAAAUGACUAAAUUGUAAAAAGUGCAAAAGUUGAGUUUUAUAUGUUAGAGGUGCUAAUUAUCAUGAAAUUUUAAAUGGGAGGUCCUUAAAUGAUAAUUAAACCAUUGUAUAACUUUUUGGACGAAAAAUGACCUUGGUUGGGUAAAAUUUGAAAGAAUAGUAAAAAGAGCAUUUUGGUCAUUUAGGGGUAAAAUGAAUUAAAAGACAAAUUUUAAACCCCAAAUGUGUCCAUUUCUUCUUGCUACAGAAGAAUUUACCAAGAGCAGCCAUGGUUAGGGUUUGGCCAAGCUUCCAAGCUUAAUAGUAAGUGAUUCCGAGCUCCGUUUUUAAUGUUCUAUGUAUUUUUGAAAUCCCGGUAACAUGAUUUGCUCAUUUCUACCAUUAUUUUGAGUUAGAAUUUAUAUUUUAAAAUUUACCCAUGAAUUAUAUGCAUGUAUUGUGAUGUUUAAUGGUAGAAUAUGAAGCUUGAAAUUGUAUUAAACAACUUUUGCUAAGCGAUUUUACGUGAAAAUGAGUAAAACGACAUAAUCGAUAAAAAUACCUAAUGCUCAUAAGUACAUGUUAGAGUGAGAAUUUGAUGUUUCCAUAGAAGGAAAAAAUGACCAGCAUGUCAUAAAACAUAAGAAAAUAGGAAUAAAUUUAAUUUCUGAACCUUGGGGCAAAAGUGUAAAUAUGCAAAAGUUUAGUGUCAAAAUGCAAAUUUGUAAAAAUAUGAUUUUUAGACCCAUAUGAAUAGUGUGACGAAUUAGUAGGCUAAAUGUGAUAUUAUAGAUCAAGGAAAUCGAGAUUUGGGCUUAAAUCAGAAAAAUACAAGGUUAUGGACUAGAAUGGUAAAUUGCCAUUUCUAAAUCUGAGGUAAGUUCAUACGGUUAAAUUAUUAAAUUUCAAUAUUAUUUUAUGAAUAGUGAUUAAUAUUUAUGUAUGUUAAUUGUUGAAAAUAAGUAAAUUAUGUACAAAAGUUACGAAAUUGAACUAAGUAUUUCAGAGGAACGGAACGCAAGAAAUGAGUACGAUCGUUCAGUGAAAAAGAUGAAUUGACGGUAAAUUGCCCAAGUAAACCGAGAUUUAGCAUUUAUUGUGAAUUCUCGUGUUUGCUUUCCGUUUAGCUCUUACUAGCUUCCGUUAACUCAUAUGAGUUUCAGUUAACCUUUUGGGGUUUUAGUUCAGCUCUGAUGAGCUUCAGUUAGCCUUCGGGCUUCCGUUUAGCACUUGUGUGCUUUAGUUAGCCUUCGGGCUUCCAUUUAGCACUUGUGUGCUUCAGUUAGCCUUCGGGCUUCUGUUUAAUACUUGUGUGCUUCAGUUAGCCUUCGGGCUUCCGUUUAGCACUUAUGUGCUUCAGCUAGACUUCGGGCUUCAGAUCACGAUGUACUCAAAUCCGUAAGCCGUUCCUUGAAUGGACAAGUUGGUAAGUCAUAAAUGUAACGUGUGGCAAAAGAAAUGUAAGUAAUAUUAUCAUUAUUAUUAUUGAGAUCCAUUGUGAAAAAUGAGUAAGGGAUCCAUGAAAUGGUAAGUUCAUGAUAGUUGGAAAUGAUCUUAUGAUAGUUAUCAUUAUAUUGUACCAAAACAGAUUUGGAUAGCAACAUUGAUCCGACUUUGAAAAUCCACUAAAAAAUAGUGGAAAUUGAGUUAGAAGCUUAAUAAAAUAUGAAAUUAAAUCUUAAUGAGCCUAAUUUCACAUAAAGGAAACAGUGAAAGCAAAAGAAUUCUGUAUCAUGAGAUAUUUGAAUUCUUGUGAGAUAGAGUCGGAGUGAUUCCAGACUCCCCUGUCUCAACUUUGGAAAAUCACUAGAAAUUUUAAAAAACUAAUUAUGAGUUAAAAUUCAUAUGUCUGAGAUACUUAAUGAGUCUAAUUUUAGGAGAAAGAGACAGGAACAUUAUCCGAGUCUCGUACUAUGAGAUAAUUAAAUUUUAGUGAAGAAUGGUCAAAGCUGUCAAACAGCAAAAUAAGGGAUAAUUUAAAUAAUAAACUGUACUUAUUGGAUGAACCAAAAAUUCUGAAAAUUUUAUGGUGGAAAGAUAUAUGAGUCUAGUUUCUUGGAAAAUUUACAGAUCUUAAUUUGAAGUUCCGUAGCUCCAGAUAUAAAUGAUUUAGUGACUGUGACUCAAGAAAAUAGCUUAACCAGAACAUGUGUAAAUGUACAAUUGGAAUAGUUUUACUAUGGAAAGCAUGUUAGUAAAUUGCUUAUUAUUUUCAUGCGAGCUUACUAAGCGUAAAACUUACCCCCUCUUUUCCAUUUCUUUUAGUGUUGUCAGGUUAGCUCGGGGUUGGAGAUCGUCAGAGGCAGCAUCACACUAUCAAGCCAACACCUUGAUAGUAUAAACAAAUAUGCUACAAUUAUCAAGUGAGUGGCAUGUAUAGGGACCUAGUUUUAUAACAUGUGUUAUUAUAAUUUGGCCAAAUAUAUUGGUCUUUAGUGAGCUAAUGAUUCUGACUUAUAAAUCUAGCUAUUCAUGUUAUGUCUGAUAUUGGUGAUGUGCAUAUGCUUGUUUGCCAUGCAUGGUUGGUAAUAUGUUAUGUGUUGUUAUGAGAAUGCCAUGCUUGUGUCUUGAUUAUGGAUAUAUAUAAUUACUCAAAUAUGUCAUGUCAAUUGCUAUGAAAUGUAUAAGUGUAUGUAGGUAAUUAAGGGUGACAAUUGGCUUGGAAAAUAGCCUUGAAAUUGUCCACACGGAUAGAUACACGGGCGUGUAUCUAGGCCGUGUUUGACACACGGAUUAAGCACACGGGCGUGUGCCUUGGCUGUGUGACCCUAACUUGUUCAUGACCAAAUGGACAAAGAGCUCUAUGGGCACAGGACACGGGCGUGUCCCAAGCCACACGGCCCAAUCCACACUGGUGCGUGACUCUCUGAAGCAAGAAAAUUUAGUUAAGUUGCCCAAAGAUUUUUAAAGUUCUUGGUUUAGUCCCGAACCACCUCAAUGCAUGUUAUAGGUUUCGAAAACCUAUAUAAUGGAUGAUAUGCAUGUGUUCGAGAUGUUUUAAUUUUUGGUGAUAAUUUUGUGGCCCGGUUUUGCAUGUUGUGAAUGUUUAAGUCCGGUAACGCCUCGAACCCUAUCCCGGCGUUGGAUACAGGUGAGGGGUGUUACACAUUCAUAUCUUGAUUUUACUGAAUAUUCCCCAUUAUUAUUCAGAGCCCACACCCUCCUAUCUAAACCUCCUAAAGCUGAUAAAGAUCUUGAUCUAAGCUUGUUUAUUGUCUCUUGAUCAGAUAAUCUAGCUAAUUUAAUUUCAUCCCAUUCUCUUCCUCUAUUUGUUACCAGUUUUGUCAGUUGAACACACUCGCUUGAACCAUUGCUCACACCACCCUUAUUUUCCUGUAUAUGUCCAUUUAAAAUGACCAGGUCAUUACCAUUCCUUAUUUGCGAAUCCAUCAUUUGUUUACAUAAAUAUCUUCCAUUGAGAAUGCUUUUUCGUACCCAUAAGUCAGAGCUUUUUCUCUUAACACUAUAAAAAUCCAUUUUCACGCAAUAUUUUUUAAAAAUUAUGUUUUGAACUAGCUAGUUAUAUGCAUUGUAAAUUCACCACGCUUGUGUGAUUAGAACUAAUGAAGUACAACCUUAAGACCUAGGAACUCGUCGGGCCUACAUGCAAUAAAAAACAAAAUCAGUGUCAUAGUUGAACCUCAGUAGUUGAGAUCCUUUUCUAUUUUUGGUACAACGAUGAUUCGAACUCAAGUUAUUCUUGAAGUAAAUAAAUGUUCGAUCAAUAGGUCACAACAAGAGGUUAUAUAAAUACCCUCUUUCACCAAAAAUCCUCUAAAAAAACCCUAAAACUCCUAUCAAGUAAAAAAUUCUAAUUGUUCUACUUUCUCUAGUUAUAAAAAUGACAACGUUGAGAUUUUUAAAAAAAUGCAUAGUUUACCAAACCAUAAACAAUGAAAAAUUACUAAAUCAAUUUUUUUUAUUUUGUUAUUACUAGAUUUUGUUAGAAUUAAAUCUUAUUACUAUAGGGAACCUUGUUAUUUAUUAAACUAAACAUUAAUUUUUCGCUUUUGGUACCCAAGUUUUACAAUUUUUUUAAUAUGAUACUUGUGUUAUUUUUUGGUCCAAUCUGAUAUAUAUAUUUGACAAAAGUUAUAUAUUACUUAUUAGUGUUUAAUUUAAGUUUUAGGGUUGAUUUGAUAAAAAUUAAUUGCCAAUAUUAGUAGGUUUGUAUUUUUCAUGAUCUUAUUAAUAUAAUAAAUUCAGUGUUAAUUGUGAAUUUAUUUAAUUUUUCAAAUACAAUCUAACAGAUGCGAUUUAAUUUGGUGAAAGUUAAAUAUUAAUAUUAUUAUUAUCUAAUUUUAAAUUUUUAUCAAAUUAUCUUUAAAACCUGAAUUAAAUACUAUUACCGAACUAAAAAAUAUAAUUUUAAUAAAAAAUAAAAAAAUAACACAUAUAAUACAUUAGAAAAAAGAGUUAAAACUCAGUCAAGCAUUAAUUUAUUUAUUUGUGAUAUUUGGAAGUUGAGAUAAUCUUAAAUUGGUUUGAAUGAAUGUAUGAUGUCUAAAAUUGGUAUUUGAAAAACUUUUUAAUAGGCAUGUAUCUUAAAUUAAACUUUUUCGCAACCCAUAAAAGUCUAGCAUCCGUAAUUUACAUGAAUCAUAUACGUAUAAUAUGAAUCAGUUCAGCUAGUGCGGGAGUUGAUCCUUAAUUUUAAAAAUCCCUGUCUCCUCUCCAAUUAUUCCCAAACUGUACCAAAAUAUAUAAAAUACAUACAAAUCCAACCGAAUUGAUUUAUAAUUUUAAGUUUGAAAUGUGUUAAGAGCAUUGCAUUUCCGCCUCACUUCUCCUUGGUUUCCAGUCUUAAUCCCAGAAAGGCUAAGCUUUUCGAUUGCUCGAGCAAAAUCAUUGGAAAAGGCAGUCUGGUUGAAAGCAUAUAAAUCCACGAAAUGGCUGGUUUGGGGUGUCUCAAUAGCCCAUUAUCAGAUUCCAAUAGCCCCAUCCCUCUCUUCAAGUUCUGGUAAAACAUGUUAUCAAACUUCGAUGGAGUCAUGGGAUCAUUGAAAGCUGCCAUAUCACUAUCAUUCUUAUAAUUUGCACACAAUUUCUUUAAAGCCGCAGAAAACUUUGGAUGAUAACUAGGAUCAGUUGGGGUACUUCUGCUAUAGCCGAAAAGCCUGUAAGCGAACUCUUUGCAAUGAGAGAACCCGAUGGUGUGGGCACCAGAAAGGGCAACCAUUUCUCCAACUGUGAAAUUCUUGGAUUCAAACAUCCUGAUGAUCUCAUCCAUGGUCGUGUUGGCCCGCGGUAUGUUGGCUUCGACGGAAGAGAUAUUCGACUCCAAGCUGUCCUUGCGGCCUAGCAUAACAGUAUAGACGGGUCCGCCAGCCAUGGAGACAAAGUUGCGUGUGGCAAGGGCGAGAAUGUCAGCGCAUGAGACAAUGUCAGGGCAAGACAGCUCCAGAGCUGUCUUUGCGCGUACAAUGACAUCAAAAGCAUCCCCUGGAAGAGCCAGGUUGAUGUCUGCGUCACGCUCGGCCUUGUUGAAGGCAUUGGAGGAGAUAAGAACCGAAGCAUCACAGCCUCCAACCAUACAGUCGUGAAAGAAGAGACGAAGGGUACCUGCGGCGGCGGCGGGGACGCUGAUGUACUUGCUGGUCACCGUUUCUCGAAUGAUAUUCUCCAAUUGUGGGCAUGAGUUCUUGUAAUAGUCAAUGGUGAGGUUAGAUUCCGAGAAAGGGAUGGAGAGGAAGAGGAGAAUGAGGAAAAGGGUAGAAGGAGAAACCAUGGCGACCAUCGAGGCUUUGUCUGUUUUUUCUGGAUUCAAGUUCCAGAAGGGUUUGAAGAGAAUAAAAUUUAUAUUUUGGCUUGCUUCAUUUGUCAUCCCCUAUUUUAUACGUAUGUUUGCAUGCUAAAUUUUGGCUGAUUGAUUGUGUGCACAACAUGUGGCAGUGCUAAUAUUAUAAUAUUAGAAGAAUUUCUAGUGUUUUGUUGAUCUCUAUUCAAACUAAUUUCUAGUAAUUUGUUAGAUGGUUUAACAAAUUAUUAAAUCUAAAAAUGAUUUACGCUCCUGCAAGAUGGUUGAUACAUCAAUCACACCCAUCUUGGAUAUCUAUCCUUACCAAAUGCCUCCCAGACAGCACCAGCAAGCACAUAAACAGAUGACUUAAUGUGAAUCUGUAUACCAAAAUUUACAAGUUUUGAGAAGGAUAUAUCAUUAGGAAAAGGGGAAAAUUUUUAGGCUUUGUGCCCUAUUUAUAAUUUUCAUGAUGACAAAAUUACAUAGUGUUGGGGAAGGGCGAAACGUGCAAGUGUAGGACGGAUUGCUAAGUUCAACCAUCGAUAUAGGCUGGAGAAGCAGGGAACUCCAACAAAAAUGAAAUAUGAAAUACGAAUGGUAUGCUAAUGUUGGGUGUUUGUGGUUCGAUUUAAGCUUCACUGUUAGAUAAUUGAUCUUAGAACUUCCCCUUUUUGAUAACAUAGUGGUUUGACGAUCAUUCAAUCGAGACUUUGCCGCUUUAAUGUAGCUUAUAAGAGUUGUUCAUUUUUCAAAAUUUCCUUUCUUUCUUUUACUAUGAUGCAUGCGGAGCGUUUGAUACAUUGAUUGGAAUAUAUUUCAUUGAUUUUUGGAUGAUCAUGUCUAUGCCAGACUCGAUGGCAGUUUGAGGAUAACUACUAAUACAGUUCAAUCAAGACCCAUGAUUGAUCAACCUGUUCUGUCAUCUUAGAACUUCCCCUUUUUGAGAAGGUUGUUUGACUACCAUUCUUUGUUGCUUUAGUAUAAGCUUUUUCUUCAUUGGAUGUUCAUGUAGUUGAAUAUUAUUAUGUUUCAAUGAUCGUGUUUAAUCCGGACUUGAUGUGAAUUGGGGGAUAAUACUACUGGGUUUUAUGUGCAAUCAGAAUGACACUAGGACAUAUAUAUUCUUCCAAUUUCGAGACAAAAAAAACUUUGUGCUUGGGUCACGUGGAACAGUUGCUAUGAGAGUGAGAAAGUGAAAUUAAAAGAAAGAUACUCGAAUUUGUCUUAAUAACUCCCUUGUAUCACAAUCAUAGUGAUGACGGGAAAGCAUAGCUUCAAUUUCUAAUGAUGUUGACAGCCAUUAGGUGGGGGUAAAAUCCAAGCCGUACAUUAUCCUAGCUAAUUCUCUCUCUCAACACAGAAUUUCUCUGCCUUCUCUCUAAAGUAAGGCUUCUUCUCCGCUAAGCUUGCUCCCCUCUUUUAUCCGUCAGCUGCUUUUUCUUUUCCAUUUUUCCACAAAAUAAGUUGGUCCGUACCUCCUUUUUCCUUAAUUCCGACCAUCGUGAAAAGGAUGUCUCCGUCUCUUUUUUUUCUGGUUUGGAUCUCGCCAGUGAGAGCUAUGAUUUCCAUGCUUGUUGACGUUGCCGCCGCUAGUUUCCACAUUGGCCGGAGUAACAUCGCUCAUUGAGUUUCGUCGCACCAGUAGUGGUUUGAGGUCUUUUGGCCAGAAGUUCUCCUCCACCGCCUUUCCGUUGAUUAGCUCCCAAAUUGGUCAACGGAAUCUUUUUUUUGUUUCCAACCAUGGCAUGGUCUGUCCGAAAAUGCUAAUGCUGUCAAAACAGAUGCAUCCCCUUGCCUCAACAAUUAUUUCUCAAAUCCUUGAAUUUAUUAGAUUACUAUUUUAAUAAUAAAUUUGAAAUUCUUAAAACAUUUUUUUUCUAAUAUACGUGAUAUUAAAUUUCAACUAAUUUCAAUUCAUCUAUAACAUAAGCAUCUCAUUCUUAGAAUUUACAUAAUAAAUAAGCCUAAACAUAAAUUCUUAGGCCGCCUUUGUGGAGCUUCCUUUUUAUGUUUAUAUAUGAUCUGUGUAAGGCUUUGGUUUUAGCUGAAUUGAGACUAAGCUUUGGGCUUUUUCAUGUUUGUAUCUGAUCUAUUUCUAUAAUGAAAUCUUUCGCAAAGGACGGAGAGGAUUUCAGCAUGGCCCAGAGAAUUCCAAAAUAACUCAAAGUUGAACUGGUGAAUUGCCUGAUCCUAAUUGAAGAUUUGUUGAAAUUGGACAGGGCAUGUGAGAUACCGCUUGUUAAGAAAAAUAAUAAAUGCUUCUGUUGGACACCCGAGGUGGUCGUUUUGGACUCAAUUCAUUCUAUGUUCCUCGCAAUCUGUUUGUUGCUUGUAUUGUACCCAAUUUCUGUUGCAUAUUUUCCUUAAGAGGUAUAGUGGCAUCAUGAAGAUACACUUUCUAACUCGCAGUAAGAAUUAUGAUUCUGUGAUCCCAUAUUUAUAAAUAAAACAAUGCAUGAUCUAUAACCAUAACUACACCAUGUAUAAUCAACAUACCAGAAUUUGCUUUACACAUUUUGAACAACUACAUUCAAGCCCAAUAGUCGGUUAGUACAGAAGUCAUUACCCCAUUCUCUUUUUUCCCAAAAUAUUACCCUAUUGUUGAGUUUCACUCGUGAACUUGACUUCUAAUCCCAACACUGCAGGCAGCAAAUCAAAGGGAUUGAGAGUAGUUUCCCUUCAAAAUAAAUUAGUCAUACUUAACAACAGUGCCAAUCCGUCUUGAAAACGUUAUAAUCACCUAGAACUGCUGUAGUUAUAUUAGUAGAAAAUAUCCACCCAUGGAACGGUCAAAGACAAAAUCCCAAUUGCUGACCAAAAGUUCCAGAAUACAUACAAGGCUUUGCUUCAUGACACCUACCUAGCAAAUUCGGUCAACAGAAACAUCAAGGCGAAGCACAAGCAAAAGAUGAAUAACAUUGUUGCCAGUCACUGGUCAUCACAAGGGCCAAUAGAGGUGAAAGUGCAACAUCAGACUUCAAACGCUACCUCUGUGCCAACACCUUAUAAAAACAUUGAUAUCAAAGUUGGCAGGAAUCACAACUGUUGCAGAUGAACUACAAUUACAGUUCAUAAAUUAAACAGGAUUAGAAUUCAACAUCAACCCCAGUCAUGCAAGGAAAAAAGGUUCAGUAUCAAAUUUUAGUGAUCACUUUAAUUGGGGAACAAAAUAAAACUGAAAGACAAAGGCAAGAAAGAUUUGCACUAAAAAACAAUAUGGGCACCAAUUUCUAAUGCCUAUGCAGCAUAGAAUUUAAGUUUCCAACAGUUGUAAUAUCUACAAAGGGGAAGGUGAUCUGAAUCAAAAACUAAUUCAAGGAAUAAUGGCUUGAAAACACUGAACAGUUUUUUAGGAUACAAUUGAUAGAGUAAGAUGUGGGGGUCAGAGACUAUAAACAUCAAAUGGCUCACUUACCACCCAUCCUCUAAGAGCACACAGGGUAAAUGACCUCUGGAGGUUAGCCAAUUCCCAUCCUUGAAUACCUAGAAACAAAAUAAAUAUAAAUUGUCACAGAAAAUCCAUAAUUCUAAUAAAUAUUGUUUGCCUCAAGAGUGCGUUAGUGACAGAAUGCAAGAAAAAGACAAAAAGGGCAUUGCCAAAAGAAAUAUGAAAAGAACACAAAUGACUUACAUGCCUUGAGUUGAGUCAUCAGAUGUGACAUUUAAGGUUUCUUGAUUCCUACUGCCAUGAAGAUUGCUUGUAUCCAUUCCAUCCUCCCUCAGGUUCCUUCCUUUUCAAAAUGCUACCAGGAACCUGAUAGAUUCUUGCUUGCUCCUCUGCCUGGACUUGUGAACUGGCAACAGACAGUUGCCUUGAUGCAAGAGGUGCGGACUCAUCUCUUCCUUCAAUGUCUGGAACUCCAGGCCCAGCAUUUAAGUCUAGACCUUGCCUUCCCCAAUGCCUACCGUUCUCAGCACCACUACUAUUGCUACCAUAAGGAAGGCUAACAACAUAGGACCUCGGGUAAUGGGAUGGUACAGCACCAGCAGGUCGUAACAAUUGCGAAUGAACUGGAGGAAAACAAAACCUCCCACCCGUAGAUGAAUCAACGUAAGUAGUUGAGCUAACAGAAAAGCUACUAGAAGGAAGGGGAAAUGUUGUUCCAAAGGGGAAAACAGGAUACUGGAAAGGAGUUGAUGGAAAUGACACUGCUGGUGAAGAUGACAACAUGGGUUCCCUAUAGACAUCAGGAUUAAAAGGGGUGGCACCAAUAGGUGGGCCCAACACCCUAUGUGGCCCAGCAGUUGCAACAAUUGGGAAAGGCUGCUCUCUAUCAGGUAAGAUCGAUUGUAUUGCAAUAGAUGAGUAUGUAUUCUCAGUAGGAAACCAUGAUGAGAAAUUUGCCACCUCAGUACUGUUCAUCCGGAGGCAGGAAACCGAUGGUCGAGAUGGGGCAUUGCUGCUUCUAGCAUUAUGGCUAAAUAGUGAUGGUUCAGUGCUUACCUCAUCAACAGCAGGACCAUUAUUCAAAUCGAAGUCCCUAUGGACAGUUACUUCACUAUUAAGAAUCCCAGACAAUGAUUUUAUAGGCUGCAUAGGGACAUCCAGUCUACGACUAUACCCAGUUGAGUGAUUACCCAAAUCAGCAGGCUCAUCAACUCUAUUCAAAUCAAGAUCAAGUCCCCCGGAGGACCGAGUGGGUGGAGAACCCACCAUCCCACAUGUUAAAUCAUGAGUACUAGUAAGGUCCAGUGCAGAGUCUGUGACCUUAGCAAAACUUCGGGAAGCUAGAUCCUGAAGGACUCUCUCAUCAGGUACAUUCAAAUCAAUAUCCAAAGGAGGACGACUUUGUUUCCUAAUACUAGCAUCAGCAAUAGUGAUGUUACUUGUACCCAGAGGCAUAUCCAGAAUCUUUCUGGGUUCAGCUGGCCGGAAUGCACUUGUGGCUGCUGAUCCCUUCCAACCAAGUGCCCCUUUAGUCCGCAGAAGGUUAUCUGGGGGAACAAAAGGCCCUUUAGCAGCAGCAGCAACAGUAAUUGUAGAAGGGACGCCGCUAGACACAGAAGAAACAGGGAAAGGCAAGGAGCUAAUUAAUUGAACAGGAGCUGAACAUCCUGAUGCUGUCAAGUUAUUAGGAUCUCCAAAUUUCCCCUCAUCUGCAUUAAAGCCUUCAUUCAAGUCAAAUUCUACUUUUGCAUCUGAAUCUGUACCACCUGUAACAGGAGCAUCUCUAGUAGCUGAUGUCCCUUCUUCAGCUUCAUCUGCCUCUUCACCAGUCAAAUUAGACCCCCUUGGCCUCAUAGGUUGUUCUUUAUCCCUUACAGUAGGUGAUACACAAGGAGAUGGUCCAGCACAUGGUUCAUUACCCUCAUUAUCUUCUAGCUUCUGCUCCACAAGCUCGCCUUUCUGGGCACUGACAGCUGAAAGAACAAAUACAACUAAUUACCAAUUUUAAUUAUGAAUGAAUAUUAAAAGAAAAAAAAGACUUCAAUAAAUAUGUAUUUUGUAUUUUAUUAAGAGAUCAAUAAGAGAAACAUUACUUUCGCAUUCACCAGUAUGACCAGGUGCCUUAGUCUCAACAUCCUUCUCAGCCUUCACUUCAUCAACAUUUUCGAAAACUGCAUCUUUACCAAAUCCAGGAGGCAAAGCUUCUUUCUCAGUUCCUUUGGGGGAAUGUCCAACAACUGGUGACUUCUGAUGAGUCUGUGAACUUCUUUCUGAACCUUCAGAGACAUUUUUCUUAUUGUCAACAUCAACUUCAACAGAAGGUACAGAUGAAGAUCCUAGAACUUCUUUUUUCUCAACUUCUACAAAUGGAUCUAUGACAUUAUUUUCAUUGGCCAUAGAAGAGCACCAUUUUUGUUUGGUACCCAAACUGAUAUCACCAUCCAUUCCACCUGCCUUUUUCUCCAGAUGCUCUUUGCAAUCUCCAAUAUCAGUAGUUCUCUCCACAGUGCUUGCAGAGGGCAAAUUAAUUAAAGUGGUGGUUACAUUUUCCUUUAAUUUAUCAUUUUCAACACAUGGGUCUGCAGUGUACGGAAUUCUUGAAGACGAUAAAUUUUCAUUCAGCUCUCUAUAUUUUUCUUGAGAGGAACCAAUCUUGUUGUCUGCAUUCUUAGCCCAUGAAUUACCACCAACUGCCUGCUUCAGAUGCUCCUUGGCACUCUCAACAGACUGAUUUUGAUCUCGGACAACCUCAUCCCCAGAAGAAGGUUUUAGUUUUGUAUCAUUGCCUGUGUAAGAGAGCUCAACAAGGGAGGUAUAUCUUUGUGGAGAAUCUAUCAGUGAAGCCACAUCUACUCCAGUAGCCACACUAGCAAGCAGAUUCAUUCCAGCAUCGUCUCCAACAGGCAUGCACACAUUUGAUUCAGAGAACUUGACACAACUAUCAAUUAGAGCAUUUAUGGAGCUGAAAGAAGGCUCCUGCACUUUCCCUGAUUUAUGUUCAUUUCCAGAAGAUGAAGCAGUUUUAGUAACUUCAUUUGUUUUCCUAGCAUCGUCUCCAGUCCUACAGUUUUCUUCAUCGGGAACAGCUGCAGGUGAACCAUCUCCCUCAUCAAACCCUGUUAGCAUGUCUUUUAAGUCAUUGCUCUGCCAUGAUUCAGUAUUGGCAUCAGUAGCAACAUUAGUCCGGUAACUAUCAUUCUUCUCCUUCAAGUUACGAUCAAAUUGUUCAAGCGCCUCUGAAAGAACAGGAGAAGAAGCCCUGCUAUUCAUGACUGAGUGAUCUUCAAGAGAUCCUCCACUGGCACUUUGUACUGGACUUCUACCUCGAUUUGGGAUCUUAACAAUGAACUUAUGACUAUUAGACUCAGCCAUAGGAGCAUCCACAGCCUUUUCACACGUUAAACCAGACUGUAUUACUUUUUCUGAAGCAAGAUUUCUGUGCAAAGAAGAAUUUUUGCCUGAUCCAGUUUCCCUUUGAACUCCAGAUGACCCUGGUAAACCGUUAUUGGAUUUCCGGUGCCUGGAAGAAUUACCCGAGAUCUUCGUCACUGAUCCAGAGCCAGCUGCAGAACUUCUUGCAUCCUCCUUCACAAAAACUCCGCCAGUCUUUGCAUGGUCACUAGAACAAGAUUGACUAUUGUUGUGGGACUGACUCGAACUGCUGCUUUUCUCAUCCUUUGCUGUUGUUUGAGGAUCAGAGGUGCCAACAACAGUUGCACCUCGUGCCUGCACAUCUUUUAAAUUUGCACUGGCAGAAGCAGGCGAUAUUGCUGCCUUCGUAGAUCCCACCAAUGCAGAAGCAAACUUGGUUGCAGUCUCUCCUUGAGUAAGCUUAACCG